rnacentral:rRNA from 1 species
AGCGAACGUUCGCGGCGCGCUUAACACAUGCAAGUCGCACGAGAAAGGGCUUCGGCCCCGGUACAGUGGCGCACGGGUGAGUAGCACGUGGGUAACCUUCCCGGGAGUGGUGGAUAACCUGCCGAAAGGCGGGCUAAUACAGCAUGCGACCGGCGCCCCUCGGGGCGGCGGUGAAAGCGGGCCUCUGCAUGCACGCUCGCGCUCCCGGUUGGGCCCGCGGCCCAUCAGCUAGNGGCGAGGUAACGGCUCACCAAGGCGACGACGGGUAGCUGGUCUGAGAGGAUGGCCAGCCACACUGGAACUGAGACACGGUCCAGACUCCUACGGGAGGCAGCAGUGGGGAAUCUUGCACAAUGGACGCAAGUCUGAUGCAGCGACGCCGCGUGGGCGACG